GGAAGCGUCAUCAAAGGGUCAAGAGCCCAGUGGGGGGUCCUCAGGGACUGUGAGCUUUCUCUCAGCAGUGGUCCCUCCCUCUGGAGGCCCUCAGAUUCCCCUCCUCCCACCCCGCCCCCUCCAGAGAUCUCCAAGCACACCAGGACUUAGGGAAGAUGGAGCCCUGGUGGCGGGGCCCAGAUAAGGGCAUGUUUGGAGCCUGGCUGUGUGACCUUGGACAGACCUUGUCUCCCUAAAAGCCAAGGCCCAGAAGAUCAUACGAGAAAUUCCCUCUUUUAUGAUUUCGCGUGCACGAAGUGGCCUUCUGGUGGUGAGAUGGAGAGAAAUUGAUAGUGGCGACAGACAGCAAAGUCUCCAGGAGCCAGACUUCCUCGGGGGAUGUUGCCCAAACUGGACUCGAACUCCUAGACUCCAGCGAUCCUCC